GUGGGGAAUAUUGGACAAUGGGCGAAAGCCUGAUCCAGCCAUGCCGCGUGUGUGAAGAAGGUCUUCGGAUUGUAAAGCACUUUAAGUUGGGAGGAAGGGCAGUAAGUUAAUACCUUGCUGUUUUGACGUUACCGACAGAAUAAGCACCGGCUAACUUCGUGCCAGCAGCCGCGGUAAUACGAAGGGUGCAAGCGUUAAUCGGAAUUACUGGGCGUAAAUCGCGCGUAGGUGGUUUUGUAAGUUGGAGGUGAAAUCCCCGGGCUCAACCUGGGAACUGCCUCCAAAACUGCAAGACUAGAGUACGGUAGAGGGUAGUGGAAUUUCCUGUGUAGCGGUGAAAUGCGUAGAUAUAGGAAGGAACACCAGUGGCGAAGGCGACUACCUGGACUGAUACUGACACUGAGGUGCGAAAGCGUGGGGAGCAAACAGGAUUAGAUACCCGUGUAGUCC
rnacentral:rRNA from 1 species